GUGCAGCAAUGGGAUUUUAUACUGCAGCGAUGGUAUCUGCCAGUCUGCAGAUAAACAGUGUCAGGAGAUCUGGGGUCCCGGUGCAAGAUCUGCUGAAGAUGUAUGUUACUUAUAUACAAAUAAUGCAGGAAGCCCCUUUGGAAACUGUGGCAAGAAUGACAAUAAUGAUUACAUCAAAUGUCAAAACAAAGAUGUAAAGUGUGGGAAGAUUCAGUGCAAGGGUGGAAAUUCCUCUCCAGUUCAAGGAGGGAAUGUACAUUUCUCCACCACCAAAUUUGAGAUUGACAACGUGCAGAUAAAAUGCAGGGGGACAUUUUCGAAUUUACCUGAUUCCAUUUCUCCAGACCUAGUUCGACGAGGUACAAAGUGUGGAGACAAGAAGGUCUGCUUUGAAUAUAGCUGUCAGGAUGUGAAUCUGUUUAAUGUACAAAACUGCGAGAAGACCUGCAACUACCGAGGGGUAUGGAAUUAUUCACUCUGCUUUCAGUCACACAGACAGAAUGUUCUGAGAUGAUGAUGUUAUUGAGGUGACUGCAGAUGGUGUAUUUUGCUGGAUUCUGAGAAUUACACCAUCUCAAAGAUGACGAGAUGAUGUUAAAAACCUGACCAGAGUGUUCUCAGCAAAAAGAAAUGUCACUUACACAGAAAGACCACAGAAACUGCAAAUGGAUUUAUUUUAGCAAGAGCAGGUUGAGAGGAGAUUUGACAUUGAGUGUUCAUGGUGAUGUCAAUGUUUGACAGAGGAACUGAGGAAAAGAAGGAUCAGUAACCAGUAUUCAGGCAAGUGGCAAACCAAUCCAGGACAGCUCCCGGAGUGAU